UAUGCUAAUACGGGAUAAUAUAUUUGAGAGGCAUCUCUUGAAUAUCAAAGGUGAGCCAGUACAGGAUGGACCCGCGUCUGAUUAGCUAGUUGGUAAGGUAACGGCUUACCAAGGCGACGAUCAGUAGCCGACCUGAGAGGGUGAUCGGCCACAUUGGAACUGAGACACGGUCCAAACUCCUACGGGAGGCAGCAGUGGGGAAUAUUGCACAAUGGGCGAAAGCCUGAUGCAGCAACGCCGCGUGAGUGAUGAAGGCCUUCGGGUCGUAAAACUCUGUCCUCAAGGAAGAUAAUGACGGUACUUGAGGAGGAAGCCCCGGCUAACUACGUGCCAGCAGCCGCGGUAAUACGUAGGGGGCUAGCGUUAUCCGGAUUUACUGGGCGUAAAGGGUGCGUAGGCGGUCUUUCAAGUCAGGAGUGAAAGGCUACGGCUCAACCGUAGUAAGCUCUUGAAACUGGGAGACUUGAGUGCAGGAGAGGAGAGUGGAAUUCCUAGUGUAGCGGUGAAAUGCGUAGAUAUUAGGAGGAACACCAGUUGCGAAGGCGGCUCUCUGGACUGUAACUGACGCUGAGGCACGAAAGCGUGGGGAGCAAACAGGAUUAGAUACCCUGGUAGUCCACGCUGUAAACG
rnacentral:rRNA from 1 species